AAGGAAUAUUGCUCAAUGGGAGAAAUCCUGAAGCAGCAACGCCGCGUGGAGGAUGAAGGGUCUAUGACUUGUAAACUCCUGUAAAGAAGGAAAAAAUUCCCAUUAGAUGGGAGAUGAUGGUACUUCUGGAGUAAGCCCCGGCUAACUACGUGCCAGCAGCCGCGGUAAUACGUAGGGGGCAAGCGUUGUCCGGAUUUACUGGGUGUAAAGGGUGCUCAGGCGGAUUUGUAAGUCAGAGGUGAAAUCUUACAGCUUAACUGUGAAACUGCCCUUGAUACUGCAAGCCUAGAGUAUGGAAGAGAGUGAUGGAAUAUCUGGUGUAGCAGUGAAAUGCGUAGAUAUCAGAUAGAACACCAAUGGCGAAGGCAGUCACUUGGUCCAUUACUGACGCUAAAGCACGAAAGCGUGGGUAGCAAACA
rnacentral:rRNA from 1 species